CAGAUUUCACAAACUUGGUUGGUUGGGUUGAAUCCACUGUUCUCACAUAGUAUGAGUAAACUGAUUGAUACAAACAAUAUGCUAUUGUCUUUGAGCCCAUAGGAUUUUUUUCUUUUAGGAGUGUGAUAGUAGUUCCAUUGUCAUACUGAACUAGAAUAGAAUGGAUGUCAAGCUGCCACCACACAAUAGAGGCAAGACAAGACUGACUCGGUUGAGAUUAAGUAGCGCUGCCAUUGUUGAUAUUAUUCUAUUAUUAUGCUUCUGGUGUGCAAUGGACCAGACAGCGGGGGUUUGCUCCUGAGAUGUUUUUGGAUAGUACCAAAAAUAACUUUUCUGGAAAAUAGCUCACUAUUAUUUGUUUUUGGAUCUUCGUUCAGGAUUUAAAGCAACAAAUUGCAAAUCUGAUCAGUGCCAUAUGUUGUUGAUACUUCAUUUUGGACCUUCUGCUUAAAUUUAUGCCUUGGUUUUCUUCGAUAAAAUUGCAUUAAAUUACACCAAGUGAAAAUUGUGCUAAAAUAUGCUUAUUUUUGCAACUGAAAUGCUAACUUUCCGCUGAAUUGACCAAGCCGACGGCCAAGCACAGAUAGAUGGAGACCAAGAGGCUAUUAUUCAAGAUCGAACUGAAAGUGAUGACGGAGGCUCUGAUUGAAUCUACUGGCAAGGUGGAUCCGCAAACAUCUGCAUGGACUAAGAGGACACCCUGUCCCAGCAAGCUUGGCACACUCUCCGCUCCGCUGAAAUUGCAGGACAACCUGUCCAAAUAGGGAGGAGCUCCCCAGCUCCAUUACUCAGAAAGAAGGAUGAUGGUUGUCAAGUUAAGGGUUACAAGCAUAGCGUAAGGCAGAAACAAAAACUAAGAAAUCGCUGAGGCAACCACGUCUAUCUAUUUUAUUACAUGAGAUGAAAAGAGAAAUUUGCACACUAUUA